GAUGAACGCUAGCUACAGGCUUAACACAUGCAAGUCGAGGGGUAACGAGAGGAAAGCUUGCUUUCCUUGUCGACGACCGGCGCACGGGUGAGUAACGCGUAUCCACCCUGCCCCCAACUAGGGAAUAACCUUGCGACAGUAAGACUAAUAACCUAUAAUUUCCUCAGAUGACAUCUGACGAGGACUAAAGAUUUAUCGGUUGUGGAUGGGGAUGCGUCUGAUUAGCUUGUUGGCGGGGUAACGGCCCACCAAGGCAACGAUCAGUAGGGGUUUUGAGAGGAAGGUCACCCACAUUGGAACUGAGACACGGUCCAAACUCCUACUGUAGGCAGCAGUGAGGAAUAUUGGUCAAUGGGCGAAAGCCUGAACCAGACAAGUAUCGUGCAGGAUGACGGCCCUAUGGGUUGUAAACUGCUUUUAUACAGGAAUAAAGUUAGCCACGUGUGGUUAUUUGUAGGUACUGUAUGAAUAAGGACCGGCUAAUUCCGUGCCAGCAGCCGCGGUAA
rnacentral:rRNA from 1 species